rnacentral:misc_RNA from 1 species
UCGAAACCUGCAAUGCAGAACGACCUGCGAACAUGUAAAUACAACUUGGUGUUGGGGUGAUGGGCCUUGGUCCUGAUCUUUAACAUCUCCUGGCGUGCUUGCAUGGUGCUCUUUGGGCAACUUGUGAGUCUCGUCAGAUCUUAACAAACCCCGGCACGGAAUGUGCCAAGGAAAACAAAAAAUGAGAAGGACUUGACCUGUUUGCCCCGUUCGCGGUGUGUAUAUAGGUUUUGGCCUCCUUGGAAUCACAAACGACUCUCGGCAACGGAUAUCUCGGCUCACGCAUCGANNNNNNNNNNNNNNNAAUGCGAUACUUGGUGUGAAUUGCAGAAUCCCGUGAACCAUCGAGUUUUUGAACGCAAGUUGCGCCCGAAACCAUCCGGUUGAGGGCACGCCUGCCUGGGCGUCACGCAUCGCGUCGUCCCCCAACAUACUCUCCCUUACUGGGUUGUCAUGUUGAUUGGGGACGGAGAUUGGCCUCCCGUGCUUCUGGUGCGGUUGGCCUAAAUAGGAGGCCCCCUUCGGUGGAUACACGGCUAGUGGUGGUUGUUAAUACCCUCGUAUUGUGCUGUGUGUUGUGAGCUGUUAGGGAAACCCUCACCAAAGACCCUAUUGUAUCGUCUUGGUACGAUGCUUCGAC